GGUAUCAGGGCAUAUAAUGGAGCCGGGGGUAGGCGAAGGAGCGCCAGUACGCAGCGAAGAUUCUAGGAGAGGAGGUGCUUGGGGGCAGGGCGGGGGCUGCUGAUGUAACUGGGAGAAGUGAUUAAUUCUGCAUUUUGGCGUUUCAGCCUCCCUCCACCCCGACCUUCACCCGUAUUCUUAAACGGAAAGUGGAGUGAGGGAGUCGAUCUUUGGUAACUCCGGGUUUCUGUUCUCGGUUCUGUUCAGACUCUCAGCUGUAGGGAGCGCUACAGGCUCUGUGCCCUUUAGUCCAGCUGAGGGUACUUGCAAGCCUUAAGAGAUCUGCUUUGACUGAGUUUAAAGCUCCAGAGUUUGGAGUCGGUUCCAGUUUUGGUCACCCAAACCCUCAGAACGUUUUAGAUCGCAGACAGUUAGUUUGCUUUGGUUUUGGGGAAGGUGGUCUACGUAAUGUUCUGGAAGAAAUAAAAUGUAUGGAUGUUCUGACUGAUGGUUUUAUUGGGUUUUUUUGUUUGUUUUGUUUUAUUUUGUUUAGGUUUCACAAAACCAAAAAAGGUAGACUCCCAAGAGGAAUUAUCUUUUGUACCUGGCCCCCUUGGCAUAAUCUGUCCCCAAGGAGAAUGUGUUUCUGUUCCCUGGCUGCAGUUGUGAUGACUGAAAAUGUACUCUCACUGUUUAUCCAUUAUGGCAUAGCUAGAAGUUCAACCUUGGAUUCCUUUAUUUUCGGAGCAUUCACUGAUUGCCUACUUGAGAUUCAUUGAUUGCUUUCUAGGCUCAAGAUAGAUAAGACAUUACAAGGCUUGAUAAAAGUAAGACCGAGAGGGAGACAAGUGUGAAUCCUGAGAGGAGCACAAGGGAGAACCCGGUUUCUAAAUGCCGAGAAGACUAGGCCUAAAAGUACUUGAGUUUGUUGUGCUACAGAAGGCCUGAGAGGUGACAGAGCAUGAGUAGCUGUGAGGCCACAAGGAAGUGUAGGCACCGGCUGGACGACCUUGGGCAAAUUCCUUGGCCUCUCUGGGAUUGUUUCUACAUCUGCAAAAUGGGUGUGAGGAGGGACACGCAGCUAAAAGGUUGCCUUGAAUGUUGGAAGAGACUUGGGCUUUGGAUGAUUGAAGUGUUGGGACUGUUAAAAGGCAUGGGAUCAGUGAGAUGGCCCUCAAGCUCAGGACCUGCAUUCAGCCUCCAGGACUCACAUGGCACAAGAAUAAAACUGACUCCUACAA